UUCCCUGAUUCUGAUGGAAGUUUGGCUCCAUGGACCAAGUCUGCAUGUCAGGGUGUUGGAGACAAGAGUGGAUGUUUCUGAACUAAUGGUACAGGGAAGAGGUGAGCCCAUGCUUCUGGAGAGUGCUGAAGUGAGAGGUGGCUAGCACAGACUUCUCCCUGCAGGAUUGUCAUUGAGGAAGCUGGUGGGGAGCGUGCUGUUAGAGACACUCAAUAGGACAAAUAGCUCAUGGGGUUUGCACUUGCUCCUCUCCUCCCCAAGGCUGGUUAGGAACAACAGCAGCACCAAGCUCCUGCAGUCACAGCAGCUGCCAUGUGAACAUCAGGUCCCCGUGGCCUCCACUGCAAGCAUGCCCUCUCUGAGCCUGAGCUGAAAGGGGGACAUGGGGUGGCCAAGAUGGCUUCUUUGG